UCCUACGGGAGGCAGCAGUGGGGAAUAUUGGGCAAUGGGAGAAAUCCUGACCCAGCGACGCCGCGUGAACGAUGAAGGUUUUCGGAUCGUAAAGUUCUUUUAUGUGAGAAGAAUAAAAUGACGGUAUCACAUGAAUAAGCCCCGGCUAACUACGUGCCAACAGCCGCGGUAAUACGUAGGGGGCGAGCGUUGUCCGGAAUUACUGGGCGUAAAGGGCGCGCAGGCUGUUUGACAAGUCAGCUGUUAAAUUGUCCGGCUUAACUGGAUAUUGCAGUUGAAACUGUCAGACUGGAGUAAUGGAGAGGCAAGCGGAAUUCCCUGUGUAGCGGUGAAAUGCGUAGAUAUAGGGAAGAACAUCGGUGGCGAAGGCGGCUUGCUGGCCAUAAACUGACGCUGAGGCGCGAAAGCCAGGGGAGCAAACAGGAUUAGAUACCCUGGUAGUCC
rnacentral:rRNA from 1 species